UACAGAGGUCUCAAGCGUUGUUCGGAUUCAUUGGGCGUAAAGGGUGCGUAGGCGGCGGGGCAAGUCUGAUGUGAAAUCCCGGGGCUCAACCCCGGAACUGCAUUGGAUACUGCUCUGCUUGAGCACUGGAGAGGAGACUGGAAUUUACGGUGUAGCAGUGAAAUGCGUAGAUAUCGAGAGGAACACCUGCGGCGAAGGCGGGGUUGCUGGGCUGACACUGACGCUGAUGCGCGAAAAGCUAGGGGGAGCGAACGGGG
rnacentral:rRNA from 1 species